GACGAACGCUGGCGGCGUGCUUAACACAUGCAAGUCAAGGGGGCCCACAAUGGGCAACCGGCGAACGGGUGCGUAACACGUGAGCAACCUACCGAACUGUGGGGGAUAGCCGGCCUAACGGCCGAGUAAUACCGCAUACGCUCUCAGUGAGGCAUUUCAUUGAGAGGAAACCUACGGGGCAGAUCGAGGGGCUCGCGGCCUAUCAGCUAGUUGGCGAGGUAACGGCNCACCAAGGCAACGACGGGUAGCUGGUCUGAGAGGAUGGCCAGCCACAUUGGGACUGAGAUACGGCCCAGACUCCUACGGGAGGCAGCAGUGGGGAAUCUUGCGCAAUGGCCUAACGGCUGACGCAGCGACGCCGCGUGUGGGAUGAAGCUCUUCGGAGUGUAAACCACUGUUGCCCGGGACGAAUAGCUCGAUUAAUCGAGCCUGACAGUACCGGGUGAGGAAGCACCGGCUAAC
rnacentral:rRNA from 1 species